rnacentral:rRNA from 1 species
UACGGGGGGAGCAAGCGUUGUUCGGAUUUACUGGGCGUAAAGGGCGCGUAGGCGGCCAGCACAAGUCAGUUGUGAAAUCUCCGAGCUUAACUCGGAAAGGUCAACUGAUACUGUGCGGCUAGAGUGCGGAAGGGGCAACUGGAAUUCUUGGUGUAGCGGUGAAAUGCGUAGAUAUCAAGAGGAACACCUGCGGCGAAGGCGGGUUCUGGGCCGACACUGACGCUGAGGCGCGAAAGCCAGGGGAGCGAACGGG